AUGAUGAUUUUAGCUUCCACUCCAUUCCGGUCCGACACGAUCGAACCACUUACGGGGAGUAACUUCCCUCGUUGGAAGUCCCAAGUCGAAUUAUGUUUGGGUUGUAAUGAAUUUGACUAUGCCUUGAGGGAAGAAAAACCUGUGGCACCUAUGGCAGGUGUCACAGGGUAUGCAGAACUCAAGAAGGAGUAUGAUGUUAAGAUGGAAAAGUGGAAUAAGUCCAACCAUAUUGCGCUUCUCAUCAUGAAAGCGACAAUAUCGCCGGACAUUUCUGAAGCACUCCCUAAGAAAGAUACUGCUAAAGAUUUCCUCACUGAAAUGGAGGAGCAAUUUAAAGGCUCCGACAAAGUGUAUGCUCAUGAGCUUUUUGCUAAACUUCUUCAGAAAUACACUAUUGACGGAAAUGUUAGGCAGCACAUAUUGAGGGUGGUAAAUGCUUUCACCAAGCUUAAGGCUUUGGAGUGUUCUUUAAGUGAAGCCCUUCUUGUCAUAAUUAUUCUUGAGUCUCUUCCUGAAGAGUUUGAACAAUUUAAGGUCAACUAUAACUCUCUAAAGGAAAAAUGGCCACUCUCUGAGAUGACCGCAAGGAUCGUCCAGGAGGAAGAAAGGAUCAUGAGGCAGAAGAAAGACCAUGUCUUUCAUGUUGGCUCUAACAAGAGAAAGCAUGACGGACAAGGUUUCCCUAAGCCUCAGAAAAGGCAAGUCAAGAAAGAAGGCACUAAGCCAUUCAACCCUAAGGCAUUCAAGGGUAAAGAAGCCGGUGGUUCUUCUUCUGCUCCUAGCAGCUCCACUGCUGGAGAAAAUGCUUGUAACUUCUGCAAAGAAGAGGGACACUAUCAAAGGGACUGCCCAGGCUUUUUAAAAUGGAUGAACAAAAGAGGGAUUCGAUACGAUCCAAACCAUAAGAGGAGGAACAAGAAAGCUUAA
rnacentral:rRNA from 1 species